UACGUAGGGUGCGAGCGUUGUCCGGAAUUAUUGGGCGUAAAGAGCUCGUAGGCGGUCUGUCGCGUCGGCUGUGAAAACCCGGGGCUCAACCUCGGGCCUGCAGCCGAUACGGGCAGACUAGAGUUCGGCAGGGGAGACUGGAAUUCCUGGUGUAGCGGUGAAAUGCGCAGAUAUCAGGAGGAACACCGGUGGCGAAGGCGGGUCUCUGGGCCGAUACUGACGCUGAGGAGCGAAAGCGUGGGAGCGAACAGG
rnacentral:rRNA from 1 species